GUGCCUGUAGCUCAGCUGGAUAGAGUGACUGGCUACGAACCAGUAGGUCGGGGGUUCGAAUCCCUCCAGGCACG
rnacentral:tRNA from 1 species